UGGAGUUUUUGACGUUUGUACAUGUAGUUCCGUAAUUUCAAAUUAUUUCUGGAAAUAGUUGGUGGUAUUUUAGUUCCAGAAUCUAUAAAUUUAGGGGUUAGGGUUUGGGGUGUCCGAUUCCGAAACCCCGAAUAUAAAGAAACGAAAUUCCGUAGUCCCGAAUAAGUAAAGACAAAAUCCUGUGUUAAAGGUUCUACCAUUCCUCAAUAAUAUCAAAUUGGAAUAUGGGAUAUUCUUUCAAUUUUUAAGGUUAAAGAAACAUGGAUAAAAACUAAUCCAUGCAUUCAUGUUUCAUAUUAUUUAUAUUUCAUUUAUCUGUAAAGAGAAAGUUUAAAGUUCGUGAAAUGAAUACGCAGACAGGACUGCCCCCUUGCGAUGCCCAGUACUUGAUUUGUCAAAAGUUGGUGAAACGGAGAAAUGAAUACGCAGACAGGACUGCCCCCUUCCGAAGACCAGUACUUUAUUUGUCAGUCUACUUAUCGUUUUUUUAUUGUUCUAAUGAAGUUAUAUGCAAUACUCAGACUCUGUUAAAAAAAUAGUUUACUAGAAUUAUUCCUUCUUUACCUUCAGUGUCGCUUUUCCUUUUUCUGCAAGAGCCUGUUUUUAACUAAAGAUCCAUGAUGAUUAUCGUUACUAUAGGUUAAUGUAAUCGAGAAACAUCACCCGUUGAGAUGCUGAGUUAUAUCCAGGAAGAAUAGUUUAAAAGGAAUGAUGACAAGUUAUAGAAAUUAAGGUUGAGACAGAACAACAAAUGACUAUUAUAUUUAUAUAUAUG
rnacentral:lncRNA from 1 species